UUUUCAUUACUUAUAAUUGCACUCCUAUUUUAGGGCAUUGUUCAACAUUAGAGACUCUUUGUUAGCGUUUCUUAGAAGUUAUAAGUUUGGUUCGAUGGAUGAUACAGUGAUCUGAAAGCUCCGGAUGCGGGAUCAUUAUGUGGGACAGGGUUUCCGAAAGUAGAUGUGGUUGAUUCUCGUGUGGUUAAUAAUAAAGGGCAGUUUGACGAGUGAAAUCUGAUUAUACAUGCCACAAUAAUUUCUUAGCUCAAUUUGAUAUGUAGUAGGUCCUCGAGGACGUUGGAUCUAAAUUAGAUCUCAGCUUAUCAGUUCGUUGACAUUCGUCGAAGCCCGGUUGUUUGCAUUCCCCUAAAAUUUCGGAAAGUUUACAGGAUGAGAAAGUCAGCAUUUGUUCAAGUUUGAUUGUUCAUAUUUAUUUGAUUCAGUGUUAGUAUCAGUUAGAUCCUGUCGGAUGCCAGUAUCGAUGUGACUGCUAUAUAUUGAUACUUUCGAGCUCUCAACUUAACGGCCUGUUUUUUGUAGCUCUAAUUUCGUCUCUAUGUCAUGGUGCGUGCAUUCUCCAGCACAGUUUGCACCUUUCACGUUUGCACAGGUCCCUUACAGGUAUUUUGUGUUGAGACUGACAAAUGUAAGGCGGGAAGUUUCGAGCGCCUUUGCCUUUGCUAUGUCGCCAAAUGUUGUUAGCAUGUUGGUGUAUCCGAUCUAAAGCAUGGUGGAUGGGGUUUAAUCACAGGAAUGUAUGGAUUCUCACUGGCUUGAAGUUUUCGAUUUUCGGCACAGCGAGUAUUUGAUGCAUUUGAAUGAUUCUCAGUCGAAGCUACUGCAGGCUCAGGACGAAUUGGUUUGCACGAUGAAAGAAGCAGCUGAGAAGUAGCUGCAGAAGAUUGAGUCUAUCGAUAACGAGGGCCAUCGUAGCUUUUGGAGGCACUCUUUAUCCAGGAGGAGGUGAUGCGUGGUUGUAGAAGAUUUGUUGAGGCUGAAGGAGCUGCACCGCCGUGAGCGAGAUCUCCAGACACUGUCAGAGAUUUAAUUAGCGAAGCAGAAGUAAUCAGAGAAACUAAAUGUUAGUGUGCCGAAGGUGUUCUUAGUCGACAAAUAUUUCCUUCCUGGGCCACCAGGAUCAUGUAAUUACGGCUCUACAUGGUAUUUACACCCUUACUUUCACCCGAUCUCUAUCGGACUGGUAUGAUGUCCAGCAUGAGAGUACAGCAUUCUUUAAUUACUCAAACGCCUGAAAUUUCUGGAAGAAAUUUAAAAGAGCAACUGUAGCCACUCCCUGUGGAUAUCAUUGCGUUGAGCUGCUGUAACUUUCUGCUCCGCUAAGAACACACAAAUCUGAAACACUCAGUCUCUUCUUGUUCCACAGUCGGGUAUUAUUAGCACCAAAUAAGCCGUAUCUGUUUCAUGAAUUUUAUAUGUUUAUUCCCGAACGGCUCAAGAUGUCCUCAUUCAUAAUUCCACCCUCGGUGCAUUGCCAAAGUUCUGCACGGAUCAGUAAACUUACAUGAUAUUUUCAUUCCAACUUCACUCGUACUCUUGGGUCAUUUGGAGUGUGCGAAUGGAUUACUUAAUUGCGUCAUGAAUUCCAUAUGCAGGAACUGCGAACUCCUAAAGUUCCUCUAGGGUUCACGUUUUUCUCAUAUUCUUCUAGGGUUCACGUUUUUGAGGGUGUUGUUUACAAUGAUCUCUAAAGCUUUGCAAAUCUGUUGAGCUUUUUCGACUACGCAUAGCACGUGUGACUACAUCCUCAGACUUAGAGGCUGGAGUGUAUGCCAUUAGGCUUCUGCAAUCUCUGUAUGAUGGAAGCAAAUACAUAGAGGUCGUCCAGGAUUAAUCUAAAGCAGUAGUCAUGAUCUAAACCUUACCUCUUUCUGGUACAAGUAAUCGAGAAAAUAAACGAUGACAAGACGAGAUUCUUCUGGGCGCUGGACCCUCUUCCACGCAACAAUUUGAUUGUAUUUGUCAAGAAUUUGAAGUGGAACAUUGUCUCUUGAAGUUGCAGUGUUUUGAA